GGACUACACGGGUAUCUAAUCCUGUUUGCUCCCCACGCUUUCGCCCAUCAGCGUCAGUACUGGCCCAGAGUGCCGCCUUCGCCACCGGUGUUCCUCCUGAUAUCUGCGCAUUUCACCGCUACACCAGGAAUUCCGCACUCCCCUACCAGACUCAAGCCAUGACAGUAUCGGGUGGCGUCCCCAGGUUGAGCCUGGAAAUUUCACACCCGACUUAUCAAGCCGCCUACGGGCCCUUUACGCCCAAUAAAUCCGGACAACGCUCGCACCCUACGUGUUACCGCGGCGGCUGGCAC
rnacentral:rRNA from 1 species